rnacentral:rRNA from 1 species
UACGAAGGGUGCAAGCGUUACUCGGAAUUACUGGGCGUAAAGGGCGCGUAGGCGGCCCGUCAAGUCCCGUGUGAAAGCCCCCGGCUCAACCGGGGAACGGCGCGGGAAACUAGCAGGCUUGAGUUCGGGAGAGGGAAGCGGAAUUCCGGGUGUAGCGGUGAAAUGCGCAGAUAUCCGGAGGAACACCGGUGGCGAAGGCGGCUUCCUGGACCGACACUGACGCUGAGGCGCGAAAGCUAGGGGAGCAAACGGG